CAUCUGGCUGCUGUGCACGGGCGCGCGCGAGGCCGCUUUCCGCAACAUCAAGACCAUCGCCGAGUGCCUGGCCGACGAGCUCAUCAACGCGGCCAAGGGCUCCUCCAACUCCUACGCCAUCAAGAAGAAGGACGAGCUGGAGCGCGUGGCCAAGUCCAACCGCUAGACAACACCGCGACGGCGCCAAUAAAGUUCAGUCCUCCUUCCCUG